rnacentral:misc_RNA from 1 species
AACGCACGAGACCUGCGGACCUGCGGAGGGAUCAUUAAUGAGAAACUGCCCCUCGCGGGUAGAUCUCCCACCCUUUGUAAACUUACCUUUGUUGCUUUGGCAGGCCCGUCUCCGGACCGCCGGCUUCGGCUGGCCAGUGCCUGCCAGAGGAUUCUAAAACUCUGCCUGUCAGUGUUGUCUGAGUCUAUAUACAAUCGUUAAAACUUUCAGCAACGGAUCUCUAGAUCGGAAGAGCACACG